UUGGAUGACCUGCCUUCGAGACGGGGACAACAGUCCGAAAGGACUGCUAAUACCCGAUGGUCCGCUCCGGAUUCGUCCGGGACGGUAAAUGGUUGAUUCCGCUCGAUGAGGGGUCCAAGUCCUAUCAGCUAGUUGGUGAGGUAACGGCUCACCAAGGCUUUGACGGGUAGGCGGACUGAGAGGUCGACCGCCCACAUCGGGACUGAGACACUGCCCGGACUCCUACGGGAGGCUGCAGUCGAGAAUCUUCUGCAAUGGGCGCAAGCCUGACAGAGCGACGCCGCGUGGAGGACGAAGGCCCUCGGGUUGUAAACUCCUGUCACACGUUAUGAAAUGUACGGGUUACACCCGUGCACUGACAAAGGCGUGGGAGGAAGUCACGGCUAACUUCGUGCCAGCAGCCGCGGUAAGACGAAGGUGGCUAGCGUUAUUCGGAUUCACUGGGCAUAAAGCGCGCGUAGGCGGCUCUUCAAGUCGGGGGUGAAAGCCUGCAGCUCAACUGCGGAACUGCCUUCGAUACUGUCGAGCUU
rnacentral:rRNA from 1 species